rnacentral:rRNA from 1 species
CACAGAGGGGGCCAGCGUUAUUCGGAAUUAUUGGGCGUAAAGGGCGCGUAGGCGGCUUUGCGUGUCUUUCGUGAAAUCCCUCGGCUCAACUGAGGACGUGCGGAAGAAACUGCAGGGCUGGAGUCCGGGAGAGGAGGGUGGAAUUCCCAGUGUAGCGGUGAAAUGCGUAGAUAUUGGGAGGAACACCGGUGGCGAAGGCGGCCCUCUGGACCGGUACUGACGCUGAUGCGCGAAAGCGUGGGGAGCAAACGGG